AUCCACUUGGAACCUCAGGAUGUGCGCUCAGGUGGAAAUAGUUAGAUGUAAUCAGUCAGGAUCUGGAGAUCGGGGUUUAGAGUCGCUGGGAACCUGGUCCCUGGUUGCUUAUUGCUUCACUGUCAGCUGAAACUUGUUACUGCCAAAGCCUACCCGUGCCAGACUCAAAUUUGUGCACACUCAGCAAUUUAAAACUAACGUGAACGUGCAGGUUUUUAGCCAUUGAGAGAUUGCCUACUUUUCAGACUGCACAGAACCUGACAGCUGUUACCCAUAGAUAAGACGGGUCCCAAGAUGCUGUGGUCCUUGGCGUUCUCUGAUCCAGAGCCCCCUCACCAGACUGCCGAGUCACCUCACUUAGACACGUAACCCUCUCUGAGCACCCAGGCCCUCCUGGCCACCCCAGGACAGGCUGGUGCUGUGAGGGACGCCCUGGCCUGCAAACCUGUCAUGGUGUUGUCUUGUCUAAAUAACCUCACAUGACCUGCCACCACUGUGUGGCCAUGGCUCCUUCCUGGAUCUGCCCCGAGAUGCCUGGACCCUUCACAGGCACAGACAGAGGCGGGGCCUGGGGUGGCCGGUCUGGCUCCCAGAAGCUGGAGGGAGGAAGGAGCCUCAGCCCAGGCAGCGCCUUGGUCUGUUCUGCUGUUGAGUUUUGGCAACAGGGGAACACAGUUCCCCUGAGCUGUUCGUAUGUGGUGAUUCAUCACGCAGCCCAGGGAUACCCACACACACGACCUUGCUCUCCACCCGUGCUGAGUCUCUGACGUGCCCAGAGUCGUGGGGCUGGCAACUGGCACAUUUUCACUGUAUUUAUAAGCACAAACAUGCCCUUUUGAGCAGGAAGCCGGGCACCUAUCCUGGGCCACAGAGCCUCGGCGGUGAGGCUGACUUGUCUCCCUCACACCAGAGACUGCCCCAAACGGAGCAUCCAUGCCUUGAUUCCUUCAGCAGAUGUGCACUGAGUGCCCCGUGCGUGCCCUGCACCAUGCUGGGCGUCAGAAGAGACCCCUGUCCUUUCUGGACAGUAACACGUGUACAAAACACAUCGACCUUGAGGGAGCCUGGAGGGGAGGUGGCCAGCCGACCACAGGGCAGCUGAACAGAGAUACAGAAGGCUGUGCUGGAAGAAACAGGACACACGUGACAGGCGUGGAGGAGAAAACCGCGUCCGGCAUCCCAGGGCCACACGGCCUCUCCUGUCAAUGCUGUUAUUUACUCAGUGAUGGAUGGCCACCCUCCUCAGCCACUCCGCCAAGCCAAGCGGAAGAGUGCUGUCACGUGUGCUCCAUGUUCAGAAGGGAAGGCAGGAGCUGCCCGGCGGGACCUAACAAUUCGGGGGCGGGGAAGGACCCCGAGACCAGCAGGCAGGGUCCAUCACUCUGGCUGAUGAAACACUGGGGUGAAUAAUGAGAACCCCGAGGGGGUCAUGCAAGGCCACCUAAGGAACCAUUACAGAAUUCCUGGCAGUUUAUUUCCUGUCAUGGAUGUUUGCACAGACAGCUCUGGUACAACACCAUCAGGGUGUCAGAUAGUGGGAGUCACCCAGGAUGAAGCCUCUUGAGAUCGGCGCCCCUCGCUUAGUCAUACGCUGUCAAGUUUCCUCCGUGUGUUUUCAUGGCUUGUUAGCUCGUUUCUUUUUACGGCCGAAUACUGUUCCACCGCCUGGAUGGACCAAGUUUGUUUAUCCAGCACCUACUGAAGGACAUCUUCGAUGCCUCCAAGUUUGGGCGGUUGUGGAUA